UACCAGCACCUCGAGUGGUCAGGACGUUUAUUGGGCCUAAAGCAUCCGUAGCCGGCUUUGCAAGUCUUCGGUUAAAUCCACCUGCUCAACAGAUGGGCCGCUGGAGAUACUACAGAGCUAGGGAGUGGGAGAGGCAGACGGUAUUCAGUGGGUAGGGGUAAAAUCCUCUGAUCCAUUGAGGACCACCAGUGGCGAAGGCGGUCUGCCAGAACACGUUCGACGGUGAGGGAUGAAAGCUGGGGGAGCAAACCGG
rnacentral:rRNA from 2 species